ACAGCCAGGAUGUUGGCUUAGAAGCAGCCAUCAUUUAAAGAAAGCGUAAUAGCUCACUGGUCGAGUCGGCCUGCGCGGAAGAUGUAACGGGGCUAAACCAUGCACCGAAGCUGCGGCAGCGACACUAUGUGUUGUUGGGUAGGGGAGCGUUCUGUAAGCCUGCGAAGGUGACCUGUGAGGGUUGCUGGAGGUAUCAGAAGUGCGAAUGCUGACAUAAGUAACGAUAAAGCGGGUGAAAAGCCCGCUCGCCGGAAGACCAAGGGUUCCUGUCCAACGUUAAUCGGGGCAGGGUGAGUCGACCCCUAAGGCGAGGCCGAAAGGCGUAGUCGAUGGGAAACAGGUUAAUAUUCCUGUACUUGGUGUUACUGCGAAGGGGGGACGGAGAAGGCUAUGUUAGCCGGGCGACGGUUGUC
rnacentral:rRNA from 1 species